rnacentral:lncRNA from 1 species
AUUCGGAAAAGGUUUCCUCCCGAAACCUGACAGAAGAAGGUUCCGGUCUGAUGAACAUGACGAGCGUCAGACACCAAAGGGAAGAACACCUCGGGCACCAAAAAAGUAAGGUGGCCGACAAAACUUGGUGAAUCAUGUGAUUCACAGCAAGGAUCGCACCCACAAAAGAAACGACAAAAGUGGGUGGAAGAACAGGAAGACCACUCACCAAAAGCUUCAGGACAAAAGUGAGUGGAAGGAAAAGUAGCCGGCCCCUACCAGCAUUAUCACAAGAAGAUAAAAGCCGGGGUCCAGCACCAUGUGAUGCCACUAACAAGUGUCGGCAAUCAAGGCCGACAAAAGAAGGUGGAUGUCAUAUUCAAGCAAGCUGGCCACGAGGAUGGAAUCCAAGGCCAACCACCGAGCAAUAAUAGAGGGGUUCAAACCUCUAUAUAAACACAAGUGCUGGAGAGAAGAGAUCAUCGAAAAUUC